rnacentral:rRNA from 1 species
UACGCAGGGGGCUAGCGUUGCUCGGAAUCACUGGGCGUAAAGCGCACGUAGGCGGCCAACUAAGUCAUACGUGAAAUCCCUCGGCUUAACCGGGGAACUGCGUCUGAUACUGGAUGGCUUGAGUUCGGGAGAGGGAUGCGGAAUUCCAGGUGUAGCGGUGAAAUGCGUAGAUAUCUGGAGGAACACCGGUGGCGAAGGCGGCAUCCUGGACCGAUACUGACGCUGAGGAGCGAAAGCCAGGGGAGCAAACGGG